rnacentral:rRNA from 1 species
CGAGGAGCUUGCUCCUCUGAUCAGUGGCGAACGGGUGAGUAACACGUGAGCAACCUGCCCCAGACUCUGGGAUAACAGUUGGAAACAGCUGCUAAUACCGGAUACGAGACGGAGAGGCAUCUCUACCGUCUGGAAAGUUUUUCGGUCUGGGAUGGACUCGCGGCCUAUCAGCUAGUUGGUGAGGUAAUGGCUCACCAAGGCGACGACGGGUAGCCGGCCUGAGAGGGCGACCGGCCACACUGGGACUGAGACACGGCCCAGACUCCUACGGGAGGCAGCAGUGGGGAAUAUUGCACAAUGGGCGAAAGCCUGAUGCAGCGACGCCGCGUGAGGGAUGACGGCCUUCGGGUUGUAAACCUCUUUCAGCAGGGAAGAAGCGAAAGUGACGGUACCUGCAGAAGAAGCACCGGCUAACUACGUGCCAGCAGCCGCGGUAAUACGUAGGGUGCGAGCGUUGUCCGGAAUUAUUGGGCGUAAAGAGCUUGUAGGCGGUUUGUCGCGUCUGCAGUGAAAAUCCGAGGCUCAACCUCGGACUUGCUGUGGGUACGGGCAGACUAGAGUAUGGUAGGGGAGACCGGAAUUCCUGGUGUAGCGGUGGAAUGCGCAGAUA